UCUCCUUUUAGCUCUGGAUUUUUUAUGUCUUCCGAUUGACAUAGCUCUGCACACUGCUGAGUUAGCUGAUUUGUAGCUAUAGACUUCAGUUUAUCUUCAUUAGUCUUUAGCUUUUCUAUCUCAUUUCCCAUACUGUCCACUUUCAUAGAAAGCGUAGUUAGGGUGUUAAGUAUCUUUUCUAGAGUAUCUUCCUCUACUAU
rnacentral:lncRNA from 1 species